rnacentral:SRP_RNA from 1 species
GCUGGGUGUGGUGAUGCGUGCCUGUAAUCCCAGCUACGUGGGAGGCUGAGGCAGGAGGAUCAUUUGAAGCCAAGAGUUCUGGGCUGAAGUGUGCUAUGCUGAUCUGGUGUCUACACUGAAUUUACCAUCAAAUAUGGUGACCUCCCGGGAGCAGGUAAAUCGUCCCAAGUUGGAAACAGUGCAGGUCAGAACUCCUGUGCUGAUCAGUGGCGGGAUCGCGCCUGUGAAUAAUCCCCUGUAUUCCAUCCUGGGCAAAAUAGUGAGACCCCAGCUCAA